AAAAAAUGUAACAAGGUUUCCGUAGGUGAACCUGCGGAAGGAUCAUUACCUAGAGUUGCGGGCUCUGCCUGCCAUCUCUUACCCAUGUCUUUUGAGUACCUUACGUUUCCUCGGCGGGUCCGCCCGCCGACUGGACAAACUUAAACCACUUGCAGUUGAAAUCAGCGUCUGAAAAAACUUAAUAGUUACAACUUUCAACAACGGAUCUCUUGGUUCUGGCAUCGAUGAAGAACGCAGCGAAAUGCGAUAAGUAGUGUGAAUUGCAGAAUUCAGUGAAUCAUCGAAUCUUUGAACGCACAUUGCGCCCCUUGGUAUUCCAUGGGGCAUGCCUGUUCGAGCGUCAUUUGUACCUUCAAGCCUUGCUUGGUGUUGGGUGUUUGUCUCGCCUCUGCGCGCAGACUCGCCUCAAAACAAUUGGCAGCCGGCGUAUUGAUUUCGGAGCGCAGUACAUCUCGCGCUUUGCACUCACCACGGCGGCGUCCAAAAGUACAUUUUUACACUCUUGACCUCGGAUCAGGUAGGGAUACCCGCUGAACUUAAGCAUAUCAAUAAGCGGAGGAAAAGAAACCAACAGGGAUUGCCCUAGUAACGGCGAGUGAAGCGGCAACAGCUCAAAUUUGAAAUCUGGCGUCUUCGGCGUCCGAGUUGUAAUUUGCAGAGGGCGCUUUGGCAUUGGCAGCGGUCCAAGUUCCUUGGAACAGGACGUCACAGAGGGUGAGAAUCCCGUACGUGGUCGCUAGCCUUUACCGUGUAAAGCCCCUUCGACGAGUCGAGUUGUUUGGGAAUGCAGCUCUAA
rnacentral:rRNA from 1 species